rnacentral:lncRNA from 1 species
CUAUACUGGGAAGUACCAAGUGUGUGACAUUGGCAGGAGGAGGGGGGGAUCCUGACAGCUGGCUGGGUGUCCAGUGACAAACUUUAAUUCUGUAUUUUAAUGAAGUGAUGACACCCCAACGGGGGGCACCAUCCAGGCAAACUAGAAGUAUGUAGGAAGUCCCUGAGUGGCUGCUGUGAGAAAUGGCUCAUGAGGGCAACGAGCUUUGUGUCCCAAGCAGAGGGACUAGAGUAGGUCACUCCAGACCUACUGAGAACAGCAAAAUGGAUCCUCUGUAGCUGCCCUCAGAAGAAAUGCAACUUUCAGGGGCCAGCAGGGGACACAAUCUCAUGUCAUACAUCAUCAUAAUUUAAUGUUGACACUGAAAACUGAAGCCAGGAAGGGGAAUCUCCUCUCCUCAGAAUUCUUAAACAGCAUCCAAGCUGUGGGGGACCCCAUUCACCAGUACUUGCUUCUCAGGUCUUGACCUCAAGAAAUUGGGCAGAAAUCCAAAGGCUCUGGACUCAAGGGAGGGGAUUUGACCUCUGGCUUGGCUGCCUGUCUUGUACAACCUUGAGCAAAUCAAUUCACCACUGGGGUCCUUGCUUUGUUCAUAUCAAAACAGGAACCACUGCCCUACUGACCUCAUAGAAUUUUCCAGCAGAUGAAUAAUAGUACUGAUGGCUAACAGUUACUGCACAGUCACUACAGACCGGUAUUUUGCAGGCAUCAUCGCAUUUAAUACUCACAGCAAUCAUGCUGGCCACGUACUUAUAUUAUCCUUAUUUCAUAGAUUGGAAAACAGCUCCAGAGGAAGGAUAUCGUUUGUUUGAGGUCACCCGGUUUGCAAAGAUGAAGUCAGAAUUUAGAGCCCAUGUUGUUCACCGAUGAGCUACGUCACUAACCACGUUCCAAAGUGAUGCUGAUGGAAAGAAUGCUGGUGCUUCAGAGUCCUGGGGCAACCUUGAGAAGCUGCAGAGGAGUGGAUGACCACGAGCUGGGGCUUGGAAAAUAAUGAAACCCAAACCAUCAGGAACGGUAUCACUUGAGCAGAGCAUAGGUGCAAGUAGCAUCCGUGUUAUAUGCAGAAACAUUCACCUUGACCCCAGGGGGGAUCUGGGCUGAGACCAGAUGACUGAAAUCUCUGGGCGAUGGUGAACACAGAAUUGGGGGACAGCAGAUAUGAAGACGCACUGAGCCACAUGCCGGAUGCCCCAAGCGCAGAGAGAGCUUGUGAGCUUCUAGCGGUGGAGACUUGACACACUGCGGGAGAGGAAAAUGAAGUUACUGGACCCACUGAAACGGGACUCAUUGAUCCUCUAGCCCAUGGUGGGCAGUGUGCAUCAGCGUGGUCCUUCAGAUGUAAACAGCACAGCCCAGGGAAAGCUCUGACCUGGGUCAAGCAGCAUCACCCAACAGCCACCAGGGGGAGCUCCUCCCUGCACUUUCCUGCUCUGUGAAGGGCCCCUGAGCCCCGGGUUCUUCUCCCAUAUCCAGCUUCCCAAUCCCUCCAUUCACCACUGGCUCCACACCUUCCCUAUAGGAAGGAAUGAUUCUGACCCAUGAUGCCUUGAGAGUGUCUGAGACAGUUUCUGGGGUUGGGUCAGGGCUCCCUGCAGAGGUCAGGGGUCCUGGCUCAUUACUAUGGCCUCCCAACUUAUUCGUGAUGGAA